UUAUUUCUCAGUCCAAUUCAUUAAAUGUAUGCAAUAACUUCAAACAUAUUUUUACUUGUUUAUCAGUAGGAGAAAGUAAUCGCUUUCUUAUUGGCCCUUGGACUCCCCUGGCAUCUCGUGUACAGCAAGAAGUUUUCAGCUAUGAAGAUUUUUAGAGGCUCCAUAAUGAAAACCAAGCUCUUGAGGGAAGGCAAUGUACAAGCAGGUGAGAACAUGCACUCUUAAAUUUUACUUUUUUGUAUGUAGGUUCAGAAUUACCAUAUGCCAUUUUGUAGCUUCAGGUGACAGCGGCUCACUUCAAGAGCAGGUGAAGCAAGUUGGGACAAUGUUGAAGACGUUUGCUCGCACUGGGCAAUCAGGUGCGUUACGCGUUACCUGAAAGGAGCAUCUGACCGUGAAGGCGGAAAAUGGCGCUGCACAGCUGAGAGGGACCCACAGCCGACCUCUUAAACCUAGGCUGACAACUGGAACACUUUCUUUAUCCUGCAGCCAGUAACAUCAAGAAGCCAGAAGUACCAGACUAAACUCACCCAAUCCACACUGUUCACUGUGGAAAUUACUUUU
ensembl:lncRNA